rnacentral:tRNA from 1 species
GCCGUUGUAGCUCAGUUGGUAGAGCACGUCAUUGGUAAUGACGAGGUCGGCGGUUCAAUCCCGCCCAACGGCU